CCUGAGUGAAGAUGCAUCUUUCGACAGGCUUGUGGAAAGGGCUCAGCAAGCUGAACACCAUAGAGGAGUCACUAGUGACCUUCUUGUAACGUUCAUCACUCAGGAUAACGGCCUACUCCAACAUCUUGAAGCAACAGUCCACGCCCUUUCAGCUGUCCAUGCAGUUUCCAUUGACAGAGCCAUGGAAAUGUAUAAAUGUGGACUGCAGUAUGACUUGAGUGAGAAACGGCUGUUGGCUCAUUACAUGGAAAAAAACAUGAGCAAGGAGGCACUACAGCAACUACAAAAAUAUGCUGAAAAAAUCAGAAGAGCUCUGGAAUCUGAGGAGUUUUUGAAGAGGCUGUUGUAUCUAUGUAUGUAGGAUGAAUUAAAAAAAAAAGUCUAAAGUCUAGAGUCAGAAGUGAGCAGAGCUAGGUGAGUGAUUGACAGAGCUGGCACCCAGUUACUAAUCACUCACUCCCUUUAAAUGCCGUGGCGACUGGACCUCGGAUGGCAGCGGCAUGAGAGACGCACUGGAGAGCAGACUGAGAGCAGGGGAGCAGUACGGGAGCAG